rnacentral:rRNA from 1 species
AAUCAACGCUGGCGGCGUGCCUAACACAUGCAAGUCGAACGGGAAGGGGGGCUUCGGCUCCCCGGAGAGUGGCGCACGGGUGAGUAACACGUGGGUAAUCUGCCUUUGGGUGGGGAAUAACGAUCCGAAAGGGUCGCUAAUACCGCAUAACGCAGCGGCACCGCAUGGUGACAGUUGUUAAAGGGGGGGAUCUUCGGACCUCCUGCCUGAAGAGGAGCCCGCGCCCGAUUAGCUUGUUGGUGAGGUAAUGGCUCACCAAGGCAACGAUCGGUAGCCGGCCUGAGAGGGCGGUCGGCCACACUGGCACUGAGACACGGGCCAGACUCCUACGGGAGGCAGCAGUGGGGAAUUUUGGGCAAUGGGCGCAAGCCUGACCCAGCAACGCCGCGUGAAGGACGAAAUCCCUCUGGGAUGUAAACUUCGAAAGUCAGGAAGAAAUCCACCCGGGUAAUAUCUGGGUGGGAUGACGGUACCUGACGUAAGCCCCGGCUAACUACGUG